rnacentral:lncRNA from 1 species
AUGGGGUGCAUAUGGGGUGCAUAUGGGGUGGGGGGCCUUAUGGGGUGCUGCAUUGCAUUGUGCUGCAUUGUGCUGUGCUGCAUUGUGUGGUGCUGCAUUGUGCUGCACUGCAUGGUGCUGCACUGUGUGGUGCUGCACUGCAUGGUGCUGCAUUGCAUUGUGUUGCAUGGUGCUGCAUUGUGCUGUGCUGCACUGCGUGGUGCUGCAUUGCAUUGUGCUGCAUGGUGCUGCGUUGCGUGGUGCUGCACUGCAUGGUGCUGCACCGUGUUGAGCCGCAUUGAGCUGCGCUGCAGGGUGCUGCAGGGUGCUGCACUGUGCUGCAUUGUGCGCUGCACUGUGCCGUGCUGCGUUGCAUCGUGCUGCAUUGCACUGUGCUGCACUGUGCUGCAUUGUGCAGCACUGCAUUGCACGGCACUGUGUUGUGCUGCAUUGCAUUGUGCUGCAUUGUGCUGCACUGUGCUGCACUGUGCUGCAUUGUGCAGCACUGCAUUGCACGGCACUGCGUUGUGCUGCAUUGCAUUGUGCUGCAUUGUGCUUCGUUGCACUGUGCUGCACUGGAUUGUGCUGCAUUGCACUGCGCUGUGUUGUGCUGCAUUGCGUGGCGCUGCAUUGCACUGUGCUGCACUGCGUGUUUCUGCACGGUGCUGCAUUGCAUGGUGCUGCAUUGCAUCGUCCUGCACUGCAUGGUGCUGCGUGGUGCUGCAUUGCCUGGUGCUGCAUUACAUUUUGCUGCAUUGCCUGGUGCUACUCUGCACGGUGCUGCGCUGCGUGGCGCUGCAUGGUGCUUUGUUGCAACCCCAGGUGCAUUUGAUGCAUUUUACUGCCCAGCUUUUGUGUUGUGUUGCUUUGCAAAGCAGCGUGCUGUGGAGUGCGGGCACCUUGCAGCAGCAUCGUGCACUGGUGUUGUGCACCAGCACCAUGCACCAGCACUGUUGCACCGACAUCAUGCAGCAAAACCAUGCACCAGCACCAUGCACGCCUGCAGUAGCACCAACAGCAUGCACACCAUGCAGCAGCACCAUGCAGCACCAUGCAGCAGCACCAUGCACACCAUGCAGCAACACCAUGCACACCUUGCAGCAGCACCGUGCACCAACGUUUUGCAGCUGCACCAUCCAGGAGCGCCAUGCACACCAUGCACACAGCAGCACCAUGCACCAGCAUUUUGCACCAGCACCAUGCAUGCCUUGCAGCAGCACGCAGCACCAUGCACACCAUGCACCUGCACCACUCAGCAGCACCAUGCACACCAUGCUCAACACCAUGCAGCAGCACUGUGCACCAACAUUUUGCACCAUGCACACCGUGCACCAGCACCAUGCACCCCAUGCACCAGCACACAACAGCACCGUGCACCAACAUUGUGCACCAGCACCAUGCAUGCAACCAAUUCUGCACCAGCACCAUGCACACCUUGCAGCAGCACACAGCAGCACCAUGCACCAGCAUUUUGCACCAGCACCAUGCACACCUUGCAGCAGCAACAUGCACACCUUGCAGCAGCAUGCAGCAGCACAGUGCACCAGCAUUUUGCACCAGCACCAUGCACACCUUGCAGCAGCACACAGCAGCACCAUGCACCACCAUUUUGCACCAGCACCAUGCAGGAGCACCAUGCACACCAUGCACCAUGCACACAGCAGCACCGUGUACCAGCAUUUUGCACCAUGCACACCUUGCAGCAGCACCAUGCACACCAUGCACGCCUUGCAGCAGCACACAGCAGCAGCAUGCAACCAAUUCUGCACCAGCACCAUGCACACCUUGCACCAGCACCGUGCACACCUUGCACCAGCACCAUGCACCACCAUUUUGUACCAGCACCAUGCACAACUUGCACCAGCACCGUGCACCACCGUUUUGCACCAGCAACAUGCACACCUUGCAGCAGCACGCAGCAGCACCGUGCACCAGCAUUUUGCACCAGCACCACGCACACCUUGCACCAGCACCAUGCACCACCAUUUUGCACCAGCACCAAUCCUGCAGCCACCAACCCAGGGUUGCAAAGCAAAUGGGUCAAACCCCCCCCAAAAAAAAAAGAAAGGACAAACCCCAAUCAGAGCCCUGGGGGGGGAGGGAGAGGGGGGGAGAGCAUUCAUCCACCCUCUAAUUAAUUGCAGGGUGUUAAUUAAGGCACGGAUCGAUAGGAUGGNNNNNNNNNNNNNNNNNNNNNNNNNNNNNNNNNNNNNNNNNNNNNNNNNNNNNNNNNNNNNNNNNNNNNNNNNNNNNNNNNNNNNNNNNNNNAAUGGGAUAAUGGGAUAA